rnacentral:tRNA from 1 species
GUGGCUGUAGCUCAAUGGCAGAGCGUCUGCUUGUGGAGCAGGAUGUUGCCGGUCCGAGCCCGGUCAGCCACC